GAUGAGCGCUGGCGGCGUGCCUAACACAUGCAAGUCGAGCGAGAAGUUUGAAAAAUGAGUUUUCGAACAAGUGAUUCAAACGGAAAGCGGCGGACGGGUGAGUAACGCGUAGGCAACCUGCCCCGUGCAGAGGGACAGCCUCGGGAAACCGGGAUUAAGACCUCAUGAUAUCGGGUUAUCACAUGGUAAUCCGGUCAAAGAUUUAUCGGCAUGGGAUGGGCCUGCGUCUGAUUAGCUGGUUGGUGGGGUAACGGCCUACCAAGGCGACGAUCAGUAGCAGAACUGAGAGGUCCAUCUGCCACAUUGGAACUGAGACACGGUCCAAACUCCUACGGGAGGCAGCAGUGAGGAAUAUUGCACAAUGGGCGAAAGCCUGAUGCAGCAACGCCGCGUGAGCGAAGAAGGCCUUUGGGUCGUAAAGCUCUGUCCUUGGGGAAGAAACAAAUGACGGUGCCCUUGGAGGAAGCCCCGGCUAACUACGUGCCAGCCGCCGCAGUAA
rnacentral:rRNA from 1 species